rnacentral:lncRNA from 1 species
GCAGCUGCUCCCAACCCCAGCAACUUUGCUAUCUUAGAACGGAUCACCAGUGAAAGAGGGGAAGUUGCUACUGUGAUGAAUUCUGCCAUGUGGUACCAGACUGCUGCCCAGACCACAGUGUCCUCUGCAACCCUGGUCAAAGGUGCCUACAUGUUCCUUCUAGCUUUGUUUCCCUGAUGUUCCUUGCCACCUGCUACUCCUCUCUGAGCUACUUUUCCAGCUUCUCAGAUGACCAAGAUGGUGCUGCCGAUGGUGUUGAGGACGGAGAACCCACCAAGCCCCGUUAGGAGCCACCUAGACUGGAUGCAGAGCACAGUUCAGCGACUUCUCCAAACCAGCCUCCCAGGAAUGCUGUUCUCUAUGGCCGUGAGGGGAAUCAAGAAGAGAGCCUGACUCCUCUCCUGAGGUCCCUUCCACACCCUGAGCCAGCA